rnacentral:rRNA from 1 species
CGGCAUGCCUAAGACAUGCAAGUCGUACGAAGCGGCCCACUGAAGUCUGAGUGCUUGCACAAAGAUGGACGUGGAUUACCGCUUAGUGGCAAACGGGUGAGUAACACGUGGGUUACCUGCCUCUAAGUUGGGGAUAACAGUUGGAAACGACUGGUAAUACCGAAUGUGCUCUACGGAGUAAAGAAGCCCUUAAAGCUUCGCUUAGAGAUGGGCCUGCGGCGCAUUAGCUAGUUGGUGAGGUAAUGGCCCACCAAGGCAACGAUGCGUAGCCGAACUGAGAGGUUGAUCGGCCACAUUGGGACUGAGACACGGCCCAGACUCCUACGGGAGACAGCAGUUAGGAAUAUUCGUCAAUGGGGGAAACCCUGAACGAGCAAUGCCGCGUGAGUGAUGACGGUCCUCUGGAUUGUAAAACUCUGUUGUUUAGGAAAAAUUGUACUGAUAGGAAAUGAUCAGUGCUUGAUGGUACUAUUCAAGAAAGCCACGGCUAACUACGUG